rnacentral:lncRNA from 1 species
AUGAUAUUUUUGAAAGAAAAAUAAAAAACUAUAGGAUCAAAAUACAAUUAAAAAAAUUUAUAUCAUGUCGGAGGAUCGCCCAAGUCAGUAGUCUCGACGAACUGGAGCGCACCGUGUGGCAAGGCAUGCUGACUCGGUGCCACGCGGGAGGUCACGCUGGUAAUCCGCGUGCUAGCAAUUGAAUGGUCCAGAUACGUUCCUGCGCGCGUGGACGGUCCGAAUCUUUUUCCUCCUCAAAUGUGAUCAGACUAUCGCGAUUAAACAUGAUGAAUGGCUCAGAUUCGUUCUCUCUUUAAACACGAUCGUACGAUCCAGAUUCAUUUUUUUUUAAAUACGAUUGGACGGUUGAGAUCAAACAUAAUGAACGAUUCAGAUUUAAGGAAGACAAGUAUAAAUAUCUUACUUCACACCGAACUUAUACCCUAAUUGUAAGCCGACCACUACCGUGCCAGAGCCACCUCCAACUGUCAAAAAAAGGUAAAAGUUUUUUUAUUCACUUGAAAUUUGAUUUUGAAUACCCCAAUGGCCAAAUUAGAGCAAAAGGAACGGCAGAUGAGCCAGAAAUUGCAGGUAAAGCCCAGCAGCACUGUCGCAGAAAAAAUAAAAAAUUGUCUCCGAUGAGCCAUUUCUUGUUUCCUAUUUUAUGCAAUU